AUUGAACGCUGGCGGAAUGCUUUACACAUGCAAGUCGGGCGGCAGCACGGGGGCAACCCUGGUGGCGAGCGGCGAACGGGUGAGUAAUACAUCGGAACGUACCCUGUCGUGGGGGAUAACGAAUCGAAAGAUUCGCUAAUACCGCAUACGACCUGAGGGUGAAAGCGGGGGAUCGCAAGACCUCGCGCGAUAGGAGCGGCCGAUGUCGGAUUAGCUAGUUGGUAGGGUAAAGGCCUACCAAGGCGACGAUCCGUAGCGGGUCUGAGAGGACGGCCCGCCACACUGGGACUGAGACACGGCCCAGACUCCUACGGGAGGCAGCAGUGGGGAAUUUUGGACAAUGGGGGCAACCCUGAUCCAGCCAUUCCGCGUGAGUGAAGAAGGCCUCGG
rnacentral:rRNA from 1 species